rfam:Cylindrospermum stagnale PCC 7417, complete genome.
UCGUGUGUGAGGAGCAAUGUUAGAUAUAGAAAGCGCUUGGGGUGGAAACACGGCAACACUCCCAGGCGCUUUUUAUU